GUAGAGACAGGUGGAGAAGUGGAGAGGUAGAGACAGGUGGAGAAGUAGAGAGGUAGAGACAGGUGGAGAGGUAGAGACAGGUGGAGAAGUAGAGAGGUAGAGACAGGUGGAGAAGUAGAGAGGUAGAGACAGGUGGAGAGGUAGAGAGGUAGAGACAGGUGGAGAAGUAGAGAGGUAGAGACAGGUAGAGAGGUGGAGAGGUAGAGAGGUAGAGACAGGUGGAGAAGUAGAGAGGUAGAGACAGGUGGAGAGGUAGAGAGGUGGAGAGGUAGAGAGGAAGAGACAGGUAGAGACAGGUGGAGAGGUAGAGAGGUAGAGACAGGUGGAGAAGUAGAGAGGUAGAGACAGGUAGAGAGGUAGAGAGGUGGAGAGGUAGAGAGGUAGAGACAGGUGGAGAGGUAGAGAGGUAGAGACAGGUGGAGAGGUAGAGAGGUAGAGAGGUAGAGACAUGUGUUGAGGUAGAGAGGUGGAGAGGUAGAGAGGUACAGACAGGUGGAGAGGUAGAGACAGGUAGAGACAGGUGGAGAGGUAGAGAGGUGGAGAGAUAGAGAGGUAGAGACAGGUGGAGAGGUAGAGAGGUAGAGACAGGUAGAGACAGGUGGACAGGUAGAGAGGUAGAGAGGUAGAGACAGGUUGAGAGGUAGAGACAGGUAGAGAGGAAUAGCCUGAAGCACACUGUGGAAUGAGUGAAUGUGAUAAAGUUUUGUGGAGGAGGAGAGGAGGAGGAGAGUAGAGGUGGUGGAGAGGAGAGUAGAGGUGGUGGAGAGGAGGGGAG
ensembl:lncRNA